rnacentral:misc_RNA from 1 species
ACCGACGAAGGCGACUAUCAGGUAAAACUACGCAACCUGGUUCGCUUUCUGGAAGACGGGGACAAGGCAAAGGUCACCCUGCGCUUCCGUGGUCGUGAAAUGGCCCACCAGGAACUUGGUAUCAAGGUUCUGGAGCGCGUCAAGAACGAUCUGGAAGAGCUGGCCGUAGUCGAAUCGUUCCCGAAAGUCGAAGGCCGUCAAGCUGUGAUGGUCCUCGCACCUAAGAAGAAAUCUUAAGGCCCACAAGAAAUUGACUCAUGGGGCCAGCCCCAUGAGUUGGUUCGCCUUGCGAUUUUGUUGUCACUCACAAUGCGGAGUAUGAAAUGCCGA